GACGAACGCUGGCGGCGUGCUUAACACAUGCAAGUCGAACGAAGAGCGACGGAAGCUUGCUUCUAUCAAUCUUAGUGGCGAACGGGUGAGUAACGCGUAAUCAACCUGCCCUUCAGAGGGGGACAACAGUUGGAAACGACUGCUAAUACCGCAUACGAUCUAAUCUCGGCAUCGAGGAUGGAUGAAAGGUGGCCUCUACAUGUAAGCUAUCACUGAAGGAGGGGAUUGCGUCUGAUUAGCUAGUUGGAGGGGUAACGGCCCACCAAGGCGAUGAUCAGUAGCCGUCCGGAGAGGAGGACCGCCACCAUUGGAACUGAGACACGCCCCGGACUCCUACGGGAGGCGGCAGGGGGAAUCUUCCGAAAUGGACGAAAGUCUGACGGAGCAACGCCGCGUGAGUGAUGGCGGCCUUCGGGUUGUAAAGCUCUGUUAAUCGGGACGAAAGGCCUUCUUGCGAAUAGUGAGAAGGAUUGACGGUACCGGAAUAGAAAGCCACGGCUAACUACGUG
rnacentral:rRNA from 1 species